rnacentral:rRNA from 1 species
GAGGUGAAAGCCUGGAGCUCAACUCCAGAACUGCCUUUGAGACUGCAUCGCUUGAAUCCAGGAGAGGUCAGUGGAAUUCCGAGUGUAGAGGUGAAAUUCGUAGAUAUUCGGAAGAACACCAGUGGCGAAGGCGGCUGACUGGACUGGUAUUGACGCUGAGGUGCGAAAGCGUGGGGAGCAAACA